rnacentral:rRNA from 1 species
UACGUAGGGGGCUAGCGUUGUCCGGAAUCAUUGGGCGUAAAGAGCGUGUAGGCGGUCCGGUAAGUCCGCUGUGAAAGUCGGGGGCUCAACCCUCGAAUGCCGGUGGAUACUGUCGGGCUAGAGUGCGGAAGAGGCGAGUGGAAUUCCUGGUGUAGCGGUGGAAUGCGCAGAUAUCAGGAGGAACACCAAUAGCGAAGGCAGCUUGCUGGGACGGUACUGACGCUAAGGCGCGAAAGCGUGGGGAGCGAACAGG